GACGGGGCCCGCACAAGCGGAGGAACAUGUGGUUUAAUUCGAUGAUACGCGAGAACCUUACCUGGCUUAAAUGUAGAGUGCAUUUUUUAGAGAUAGAAAUUCCCUUCGGGGCUUUCUGCAAGGUGCUGCAUGGUUGUCGUCAGCUCGUGCCGUGAGGUGUCGGGUUAAGUCCCAUAACGAGCGCAACCCUUACCGUUAGUUACCAUCAGGUUAAGCUGGGGACUCUAGCGGGACUGCCACCGUAAGGUGAGAGGAAGUGGGGAUGACGUCAAAUCAGCACGGCCCUUAUGUCCAGGGCUACACACGUGUUACAAUGGCCAGUACAAAGGGCAGCUACCGGGUGACCGGAUGCUAAUCUCUAAAGCUGGUCUCAGUUCGGAUCGAAGUCUGCAACCCGACUUCGUGAAGCUGGAUUCGCUAGUAAUCGCGCAUCAGCCAUGGCGCGGUGAAUACGUUCCCGGGCCUU
rnacentral:rRNA from 1 species